GCUGCUGGAGGCGUUCAGAGCGCGGAGGCCCCAGGCGCGGGCCGGGCUCUCUCCCGCCUCCUCAGGCCCGGGGGUGCUGGAGCUGCCGAGGUGGGGGCUCAUCUUUGGGAGACAGGUGGGGAGUGUGAGAGACCGCGCAGCGGCGACAGGGCCGGGCGUGCCUGUGUGACGUGGGUGCAGCUGUGGGACUGUGAGGGGUGCGUGGUCGACCUUGCGUAACCUGGAUGUGCAGUGCGUGUCCUUUGCAAAGCGUGCGUUGCUGUGGCUCCGUGGCGUCAGCAACCCUUCCCUGCUGUUUCCUUUGUCCUCCUCUCAGUCAAGUAUGACUGCCACAGAGAAAUGGUCCCAUCCAGGAAAUCAGAUAUUGAGUCCUACCUGAGUUUCCAGCAAGAAGUGUCUUUGCUCAGUUCAAAAGCCACAGAAGAAGUUCUGGACGAUGUGGGCCUUCAAUCUUCUAAGAUGGGAAUAGAAAGAAGAGGAUCUACCCAGACCAGGACCCUGCUGCCCAAUCUCAGCUCUGGCUUUCUGGAUCUGUGCUUCUCUGGUAGAGGAACCCUGAGGACUGAUCUACUCUUGCAGUUCUAAAACCAUGGCCCAUGACAUGACUUUUCUAAGCCAGAUGUAAUUACAUCAUUGGAGCAAGGAAAAGAGCCCUGGAUGAUUGUAAGGGAAGAAAAAGGAAGAUGGUGUACAGGCCUCGCUAUUCCCUGGGACACAACAAUAUUGAACGUAGGCUAGUUAAUAGCCCUACAAUCUCCUCUAAGUGUUCGAGUGAAAGGAAGAGUCACAUGUGUCUCACUUUAAACCAAAAGCUAGAAAUGAUUAAACUUAGUGAGGAAAGCAUGUUGAAAGUCCAGACAGGCUGGAAGCGAGGUCUCCUGUGCCAAACAGCAGGCCAAGUUGCACAUGCAAAGGAAAUGUUCUCGAAGCAAAUUAAAAGUAUUACUCCAGUGAACACACAAUGACAAGAAAGCGAAACAGUUUUAUUGCUGAUGUGGAGAAAGUUUUAGUGGUCUGGAUAGAAGAUCAAACCAGCCACAACGUUCUGUUAAGCCUAAACCUAAUCCAGAGCAAGGCCCUAAUGCUCUUCAAUUCUAUGGAGGCUGAGAGUUGAGGAAGCUGUGGAAGAAAAGUUUGAAGCUAGCAGAGAAUAAUUCAUG
rnacentral:lncRNA from 1 species